AAUAGAAUAAGCUAAGUUAAGCUAUCGGGUUCAUACCCCGGGCAUGAGAUAUUCUCUUCUAUUA
rnacentral:tRNA from 1 species